UCUCUGUACUGGGCCAAAUAAGUUCAUUUGCUCAUUAAUGGCUCUGAGGUCAUGGAGCAGUCUCCACUUUCCUGACUUUUUCUUAAUUACAAAAAUUGGAGUAUUCCAAGGUGAGGUAGAGGGUUCAAUAUGGCCUAGUUUUAAUUGUUCCUCUACCAGUUGACUCUCUGCGCAUUGCUGACGCACUACGCAGGGCGGGGACUCCGCAUAGGGCGGACCUUGAAGCCGACUGCCCUGAGGCCAAUCAGCAAACUGGCCUUCGCCAGCCGCUUUUGGCUUUUUUCUUGACCAAUUAGCUGGCUGGUAAUGGGCUGCUUCUUCCUCCCCUAUCUUAAUCACUUGAUAACAUGUGAAAAGGAACAAAAGGGCUCCUAACACCAGAAAAAAUUCAAGGCCAAACAUAUUCCACUUUACUUCUGAUAGACUGUCUUGAAUUUCCUUAGAAAGUUCAAGAUCAGACUUACCUCGUAAAGCUGUACUCACUGGUACUCUCGUUCCCCAGCUGAAAAGUUCUGAAUUCAUACAGUUGAAUCCUUCUUAACAGUCUGCUUUACGGGAACCUUUAUUACCGCGACCCACAGUUCUGGUUCUGGAAUGAGGGAUCUUCCUUGCGCCAGUCCCGAGUUUUUUUUUUCGUCCCGGAAUUCGGCACCAAUUGUUAUUAGACGCGUUCUCACGACCGGCCAGGAAGAACACCACAGACCAGAAUCUUCUGCGGCAAAGCUUUAUUUCUUACAUCUUCAGGAGCAAGAGUGUAAGAAGCAAGAGAGCAAGAAGCAAGAGAGCAAGCAAGAAGCAAGAGAGCAAGAAGCAAGAGAGAGAGAAAACGAAACCCCGUCCCUCUUAAGGAGCAUUCUCCUUCGCCUCGGACGUGUCACUCCCUGAUUGGCUGCAGCCCAUCGGCCGAGUUGACGUCACGGGGAAGGCAGAGCACAAGUAGUCAUAAGAUACCCUUGGCACAUGCGCAGAUUAUUUGUUUACCACUUAGAACACAGCUGUCAGCGCCAUCUUGUAACGGCGAAUGUGGGCGCGGCUCCCAACACGUGUUCAACCUGCUGAACAAUGAGAAGUGCGGGUCCAGAAUUGAAUGACACUGCAGACCAGUUUUAUCUUAUAAGUCUACCUGAAAAUCCUCCCUUCCUCUAACAGGCUCUCUGACUUGCCAAGAGUUCCAGAAAUGUUGACAGGGAGAAGGAAAAGGUAAGACUGGUUUUGGAU
rnacentral:lncRNA from 1 species